rnacentral:miRNA from 1 species
CCCUCCGCACUCCGGAGGCUUCGCGUUGCUUUUGCUGAAGCCUGGAGAGCGAGAGGGGUCGGUGCGCACCGACCCCCUCGCUCUCCAGGCUUCAGGGAUAGCUGCCUGAAGCCUUUGGAGCGCAGCGGG